rnacentral:rRNA from 1 species
GACGAACGCUGGCGGCGUGCUUAACACAUGCAAGUCGAACGGUAAGGCCCUUUCGGGGGUACGACGAGUGGCGAACGGGUGAGUAACACGUGGGUGAUCUGCCCUGCACUCUGGGAUAAGCUUGAGAAAUCGGGUCUAAUACUGGAUAUGAGCUCCUGCUGCAUGGUGGGGGUUGGAAAGUUUUUCGGUGCAGGAUGGGCCCGCGGCCUAUCAGCUUGUUGGUGGGGUAAUGGCCUACCAAGGCGACGACGGGUAGCCGACCUGAGAGGGUGAUCGGCCACACUGGGACUGAGACACGGCCCAGACUCCUACGGGAGGCAGCAGUGGGGAAUAUUGCACAAUGGGCGGAAGCCUGAUGCAGCGACGCCGCGUGAGGGAUGACGGGCCUUCGGGUUGUAAACCUCUUUCAAUCUUGUACGAAGCCUUCGGGUGACGGUAGGGGUAGGAAGAAGCACCGGCCAACUACGUGCC